GGACUGCCGUGCACUAGGGUACAUUGGCUGCAGAGAUCGUGUAAAGCUAUUACAGUUGAGGUUGCUGAAGCAGCGUCGCCUCUUCCAACUGCUGCUGGUCCUGGCAUCGAAGCCGGGCUCCCUUCCCCAAACCACCCUCAUUCAGAUUCUACAUAGCAGUUUAUCUUGGAGAUCAACGUCCUCUAGCUAGCGGUGCUCGUUGCGCCCUUGAACUUCUUUGGGAUUCGGAGCAUCAACAUUGUUACACAUGUCAUGCACCCAGAGAACCUCGCCUCUUUCAUUUUGGGUCAGUCUAUUAGCAUGCACGUUUAAGAUGAGAUAUGAUUGCAGUGUUAACCCCACUUUCUUCAUAAGCUAUUGAUGCAGAUGUUCAUUUAUAGUGAGUCGCAGCCGGUUAGCACCGGAGGGAAGAAAGCUGGCACCUAUGCGUAGUAGUUGCUAGUUCCUGCAUUGCUCUUGUGGGUGCAUGGCCACUGAGUAGCUAGUGAAAUCUCAUAACAGCAAUAAAUCUAGAAGUGGAUUUGAUUCCACACCACCUCGAAAUAGCAGUGUUUGGCAUUUGCAGCCGAGCAAAAUAGCACACCAAAAAUACUGCUAGUGUGCCUUAUCAACAUGUUUUUAUCAAUUGUGAUUGUGCUGUAAUUUCAAA